GAUGAAGAACGUAGCGAAAUGCGAUACUUGGUGUGAAUUGCAGAAUCCCGUGAACCAUCGAGUCUUUGAACGCAAGUUGCGCCUCAAGCCAUUAGGUUGAGGGCACGUCUGCCUGGGCGUCACAUAUCGUUGCCUGAUGCCAGUUUCCUCGUGAUGGGUGACUGUGCAGGGCGAAUGAUGGCUUCCCGUGAGCAUUGUUGCUUCAUGGUUGGUUGAAAAUUGAGUCCUUGGUAGGGAGCGCCGUGAUAGAUGGUGGUUGAGUGACGAACGAGACCCAAUCAUGUGAGACCCCUACCGAAUUUGGCCUUCAUGACCCACAUGCGUCUUUGGAACGCUCAUGACGAGACCUCAGGUCAGGCGGGGCUACCCGCUGAGUUUAAGCAUAUCAAUAAGCGGAGGA
rnacentral:misc_RNA from 1 species